UCUUCAUGUUGACUUCCUAGCUUCUGUUAUAGAAGAAAAGAAGAACGGCUGAGGUCUGUGCCAGUCUCCGGAGUAUGGACUUCUCAGUUACCUACAGACUAGCUGGCCGAUCACUCCUAAGGGUGGGCGUUUCUGCUUAGGACAGCAACAAUAAGGCUCUAUUAAAUGAGUGCACCUGGGCCAGGAACAUAGCUCAGCAGCACAGCUCCUGCCUGUAAUGGGGAGAGAAAAAAUGGACCUAAGGAAGGAAUUCCACUCAGGGAACGGAUCAGGCAGACUUCAUCAGAACAGCGUUAUCUGCUGA
rnacentral:lncRNA from 1 species